AGUGAACGCUGGCGGUAGGCCUAACACAUGCAAGUCGAACGGCAGCACAGUAAGAGCUUGCUCUUACGGGUGGCGAGUGGCGGACGGGUGAGGAAUACAUCGGAAUCUACUUUUUCGUGGGGGAUAACGUAGGGAAACUUACGCUAAUACCGCAUACGACCUACGGGUGAAAGCAGGGGAUCUUCGGACCUUGCGCGAUUGAAUGAGCCGAUGUCGGAUUAUCUAGUUGGCGGGGUAAAGGCCCACCAAGGCGACGAUCCGUAGCUGGUGUGAGAGGAUGAUCAGCCACACUGGAACUGAGACACGGUCCAGACUCCUACGGGAGGCAGCAGUGGGGAAUAUUGGACAAAGGGCGCAAGCCUGAUCCAGCCAUACCGCGUGGGUGAAGAAGGCCUUCGGGUUGUAAAGCCCUUUUGUUGGGAAAGAAAAGCAGCAGGUUAAUACCCCGCUGUUCUGACGGUACCCAAAGAAUAAGCACCGGCUAACUUCGUG
rnacentral:rRNA from 1 species